GAAUUUACCUUGCAGGGGAGAUACCAUGCUCACAAAGGUGGUUUUCCAAAGGCAAGGCUCAUCCAUCACACUCUGGAUGUGCUGACCCCUGUGCUUUCCCCAAAUGUGGAAAAUUGGCUGCAGAAUCUGUGGCAGUAGGGUGUGUGUGUGGGGGGGGGUUGUGUUUAAGAUCCUUC
rnacentral:snRNA from 1 species